rnacentral:rRNA from 1 species
AGAAAUCGUUAAGGGCGUAUGGCGGAUGCCUAGGCUUUCAGAGGCGACGAAGGACGUGGUAAGCUGCGAAAAGCUGCGGGGAUCGGCACACACGAAUUGAUCCGCAGAUGUCCGAAUGGGGCAACCCGGCUGGUUGAAGACCAGUCAUCCCGAUUUAUCGGGAAGCAAACCCGGAGAACUGAAACAUCUAAGUACCCGGAGGAAAAGAAAUCGAAGAGAUUCCGUAAGUAGUGGCGAGCGAAAGCGGAUUAGCCCAAAAGUCAUUAUAUGUUUAAUAGAAUGUUCUGGAAAGAACGGCCGUAGAGGGUGAUAGCCCCGUACAUGAAAGGCAUAUUUUGAUGAUAAAUGAGUAGGGCGGGACACGUGAAAUCCUGUCUGAAUAUGGGGGGACCAUCCUCCAAGGCUAAAUACUCCUGAAAGACCGAUAGUGAACAAGUACUGUGAAGGAAAGGUGAAAAGCACUUCGAAUAGAAGGGUGAAAGAGAACCUGAAACCGUACGCCUACAAGCGGUCGGAGCCCACAAGUUGGGUGACGGCGUGCCUUUUGCAUAAUGAGCCUACGAGUUAAUUUUACUAGCGAGCUUAAGCACUUCAGGUGCGGAGGCGGAGCGAAAGCGAGUCUGAAUAGGGCGCAUAGUUAGUAGGAUUAGACGCGAAACCUUGUGAUCUACCCAUGGGCAGGUUGAAGCUUUGGUAACACAAAGUGGAGGACCGAACCGGUUGACGUUGAAAAGUCUUCGGAUGACUUGUGGGUAGGGGUGAAAGGCCAAUCAAACUCGGAAAUAGCUCGUACUCCCCGAAAUGCAUUUAGGUGCAGCGCUGGGUAUAAGUUAUAUAGAGGUAGAGCUACUGAUUGGAUGCGGGGGCUUCACCGCCUACCAAUUCCUGACAAACUCCGAAUGCUAUAUAAUGUUUACCAGCAGUGAGGGCAUGGGUGCUAAGGUCCAUGUCCGAGAGGGAAAGAACCCAGACCAUCAGCUAAGGUCCCCAAAUGUAUGCUAAGUUGAAAAAACGAGGUUUGUCUGCCCAGACAGCUAGGAUGUUGGCUUGGAAGCAGCCAUUCAUUUAAAGAGUGCGUAACAGCUCACUAGUCGAGCGGUUCGGCAUGGAUAAUAAUCGGGCAUAAGUAUAGUACCGAAGCUAUGGAUUUAUAACUUUUGAGUUAUAUCUGGUAGGGGAGCAUUCUAUUUGCGCCGAAGCAGUAUCGUGAGGUAUUGUGGAGCGGAUAGAAAAGAAAAUGUAGGCAUAAGUAACGAUAAAGCGGGCGAGAAACCCGCUCACCGAAAGACUAAGGUUUCCUCAGCCAUGCUAAUCAGCUGAGGGUUAGUCGGGACCUAACGCGAACCCGAAAGGGGAAGUGGAUGGACAAUGGGUUAAUAUUCCCAUACUUGCUCACACUAAAAAGGGGACGGAUUUACGUACUUGCUGGAGACUGACGGAAUAGUCAAGGCCUAGCCUUCGGGCGAAGCUGCUGCAGGGAAAUAGAUUCCAAGAAAAGCCGAAGUGAAGCAACCCGUACCAAAACCGACACAGGUAGUCGAGGAGAGAAUCCUAAGGUGCUAGAGUGAAUCAUGGUUAAGGAACUAGGCAAAAUAGUCUCGUAACUUCGGAAGAAGAGACGCCAUCAGCAAUGGUGGCCGCAGUGAAGAGGCCCAGGCGACUGUUUAUCAAAAACACAGGACUCUGCUAAAUCGAAAGAUGCUGUAUAGGGUCUGACACCUGCCCGGUGCUGGAAGGUUAAGGAAGGUUGUUAGCGUAAGCGAAGCAAUUAACUGAAGCCCCAGUAAACGGCGGCCGUAACAAUAACGGUCCUAAGGUAGCGAAAUUCCUUGUCGGGUAAGUUCCGACCUGCACGGAAAUGGCGUAA